rnacentral:misc_RNA from 1 species
AGUAAUGGUUGAUGAAGCAUUGGAUGAAAACAGAGUGAGAUUGAGAAGAGAUGAGAACCCAGGUGGAACAUCACUGUGGAUAUUAUGCCUUUCAUUAUCAGCACAACUAGCUUCAUCUUGUCGACAGUAAUUGCGAACACAGUGAGGGCAAUAAUUGUUCUCUCUGCUUGGUUUGCCUAUGCGAUCCAAUACAUCAUUAACUAUGCCAGGUGGUGGUUUAUAUUCAGAUUGUUGUAGCAACCCUGACUGAAUUUUUUGCUCAUCAUGCUGAAGAGGUCCUGAAGAUAUUUUUUCGUCAGCUGGUUGAUCCCAUCGGCUUUUACGCUUCCGAGUUUUCACACCACCAACAAAACAAGGUGCAGAACAGCCCUUGUGGACAGCAGUGUCCACUGAAGUUGUUGCUAGCUUUGACUGCCUGGCACAAUCUAUUGCCUCUGUAGGCCUUACACCCAGAUCAUGCAAAUGAUUCUGUGAAGCUGAAACCCUAUUGCUGAUGGAGCCUCUGUGAAACUCCAUCUUUCCUUCCUCCCUAUCCAUAUAACUAUAUUUUCUGCAAUGUCGAGGAAUCCAUUUGUCUCGGAAAUUUCGUGCAAUUUGAUGAACCUGUUUGUCAUUGUGCUCUGCCAAUGACAAUAUUGAAUCCAUAAAGCUCUCCAUUCCAGGACAAGGAGGACCUCCAUUAAUAUGUUCUGGUGUAAGUAUCUUCAUGAAUGCCAAAUACUCUAAAACCUUCAAAAGUUUUCGGAGAAUUGGUGUCUUUUUGAAGUCCUUUUGGUACUGCUUUAUCAUGUUAUGGAGCAUCUGCAAACCAUUUUUGUUAAUUAUAUCAACCAAAACCACUCGUGAUUUAGUUUUUAGAAGUGCACCAAGAAUCAUUGAAAGAUCUCGAUUGCUCUGAAUUGCUUCACCAUUUCCACUAGCACCAGAAGCAGCAGUAAGAAGCAAAAGCUUCAAAUAACCUUUAGGGGCAUCUUUUCGUUUACUUAUCCC